UCUCUCCGCUCCCAACGCCCUCAGUCUGGGUCCCCGCUACUCGCCGCUUCGCUUCCCUCCCCCCCCCGCAAAAUGGUCGCGUUCGCCCAGCCGAGGAUAUGCGCCGAACGGAGAGGCGGUACAACCUAGCCCGCUGGCACCUCCUCCUUCUCUCAUUGGCCGACUGAGCAGCCCGUCCAACGCAAUUGGUCCGUUCGAACCAUCACGGCGGUUCGGCUCCACCCCUUCCUCCCCGCGGGGAGGGGGGGAGAGGAGGACGCCCCACACUCAAGCUGCUAUGAGAGGGAACAUCCGAUAACAGCCCGCGAGCCCAAGCUGGGAUCUCUGCGGCUGUAGAUUCGCCACGGGUCGCCUUGCCCGUCGAGCAGCCCUGCGGUGGGGCCCGGCCCCACUUACAGGCCCCCGUCCCCGUCAGGUGUAUUCGGACCCGAUUUUAUUAUUGGAUCACUAAAAGCAGCAGUUGGGCUUUCAGUGAGCACACCACGACUUCCACCAAAGACUUUAACUCACCACUGCAGAAUGGUUGCAAGGAAGUAAUUCAUCAGCAUUUGUAAAGCUAUUUGAGAUCACAGAAUGGAAGGUGCUAUAAAAGCAAAGAGUACUGUUGUUCUACAACACAAGAGGGUUUACAACCUUUUUCUCAUUCACUGCUGGAUGCCCUAAUAAAGUGGCAUCAGAAGAGUUAUAUGUACGGGGCAGAGGGACAAAAAGGGAUAACUGGCAAAAGGCAAUUGGACAAUUCUUGAGACAGAGCAGAAGGCAGGGACAAAUUAAGCACUGCAAUCAAUGUACACACAUGAAAGCUGUGCUAUAGAAUCUCCCAAAUUCACACCAAUCCAUUUUGCACAUCAGGCAACACCACAGUGGUUGCUAGUAGGUAUUGUGGCUACCCAUAAGUGUCCUCUUUCAACCCAGGGGUGAUUACCACAGCUGACAAAGAGUCCUGGGCAUUUCCACAACAGAUACAUUAGUCAUACGCAGAUCCAGAGUGUGAAAUAAUGAGGAGUUACUGUAACACCAUGUCAGCAAUCAUGAGACACGCGCAAAUCGCUAGAUCUUCACUUUCAGAACAGAAGAUCAUUGUAACCGUCCCUUCUGGAACAAUCCCUCUAUGUAUAGCUGGGAGUUAGUGGUAUAUAUUGAAAUAUUACCUUUCCCCCUCAAGUCCAGUCACUUGUUACAGAAGUAAGUGGAGCACUCUUACUUCAGAGGUGUUAACCCAAACCAUGCAGCUGAACAAGACGAUACAA